UUUACACAUGCAAGUCGAACGGUAACAGGGUGCUUGCACCGCUGACGAGUGGCGAACGGGUGAGUAAUGCGUCGGAACGUGCCGAGUAGUGGGGGAUAACGCANCGAAAGUUGUGCUAAUACCGCAUACGUACUGAGGUAGAAAGUGGGGGACCUUCGGGCCUCACGCUAUUCGAGCGGCCGACGUCUGAUUAGCUAGUAGGUGAGGUAAAGGCUCACCUAGGCGACGAUCAGUAGCGGGUCUGAGAGGAUGAUCCGCCACACUGGGACUGAGACACGGCCCAGACUCCUACGGGAGGCAGCAGUGGGGAAUUUUGGACAAUGGGCGAAAGCCUGAUCCAGCCAUGCCGCGUGUCUGAAGAAGGCCUUCGGGUUGUAAAGGACUUUUGUCAGGGAGGAAAUCCCUAGCGUUAAUACCGCUGGGGGAUGACAGUACCUGAAGAAUAAGCACCGGCUAACUACGUGCCANCAGCC
rnacentral:rRNA from 1 species